AGCAUUUUGUGCCUCAAGUCUCAUGUGUCUCAACGGUCCGUCAGUAUCCAUGAAGAAACGCAAACAGAACCCAGAGGAGCUGAGGGCGAGUGGACCGGGACGCUGUGUGUCUAGACAAGGGCCUUUUUUACAACACGGAGGAGUAAGAGAGAGAAUCAUGUUCUCCCUUUUCCUUCCAAGUUGCACCAAGACAGAGCGACGUGACUGAAGCAGGUGAAGCGACGUUAGGGAACCGAGACUUCACUCUUCAUGAAAAGGACCAGAGACGCCUCCAAUGAAGUGAGCAUCCCGUUCCCACGGCAACAGAUUCCCUUCCCCCAAACGCCCACUGAGGAAACCUGAACCGCGUUCAGGAGCCGGCCCCUGGUCCGGUCGUCUGCUCCAGUCCCCCGGUCCCCUGGUCCCCUGGUCCCUGACCGGACCUGCCAAACCUAGACUGACAAGGUGUAUUGCUGUCGUCAUGAUUCUGAUGAUUAUCAGAUUCAGUAUUAUGGUUCUGCUGCCUAUGAGUCCGAAGCUUCUGCCAUCACCCUCUGCUGCCACACCUCCUCCUCCACCUCCAUGCCAAAGCCACUCACACAUACAGCACUGAGGACAGUUUCUGGUGGACCAGGUCUCCGUUCCUGGUUCUGAAGCCCUGUCCCGGUGUCUCAUCCUUCGUCUCUCUACGGGUUCUUCAACGGGCGUCUAUGAAGAGGAGGGUUUCUGUCUGAGCUGAAGCAGCCACUGGUCUGGGAUCAGCCUGUGUAGGAGAAAUGUGGCUCUACCUAGUGCUCAUAAUACUCAAUUUACAAAGCAAGAAAGAAAAUGUAUUUCAAUAUACACAGGGUGGCCUUAUGGAUUUGAAUGACAGUGUUAUGAAUGAGGGUGUUAAAGGGUUUUGAAUGACCGUGUUAUGAAUGAGUGUGUAAGAGGGUUUUGAUGACAGUGUUAUAAAUGAGUGAGUGGAAGGGUUUUGAAUGACAGGGUUAUGAAUGAUGUGUUAAAGGGUUUUGAAUGAGUGAGUGAAAAGGUUUCCAGAGAGUCAUUGUGGAGUGUGUGUGUGUGUGCCAAUAAACCGGUUUAUUGCAAACUUUGAAGGAUGAUGGUAGAUUGAGCAGGUGACCCAUGCUGCCUUGUCAGGGACCCCUGUGUGUGUGGUGAUGGCUUGUUCAACCUGCUGUGCAUUGAUUGCUCAAUACACAAUGGGUGUGUGCACUGAAGCCUCACCCAGCCCAGUCAUCAACCACACACUCCAGUCAGCUUUAGGGGAGGGCCAACCCUAACUCUAGAGAGAGACGUUUCAACAACACCAUCAAGUUACGCCUUUGUAAAGUUUUAUGUUCUAAUGUACAAACGUUUGAUGACACUAUUAUUUCCGCUUAAUCCGACAUUUGAUUUUGAGGACAUGUAUUUUGCCUGCUUCCCCCUCUAAUCAAUAAUAAAAAGUGUUGCCUGAGAUCCGUCCUCACAAUGUGAAUGCUAUUAAUUGAAGUGUUUGUCAUAUUAAAAUCUCUUGCAUUGAG
ensembl:lncRNA